CUGGGAUAGUGGAAAGUGUCCCUGCCCAUGGCAGCAGAUUGGAACGAGAUCAUCUGGAAGGUCCCUUCCAUCCCAAACCAUU